ensembl:lncRNA
UAAACCGUGUAAAAUAUUUUGAGCUUGUGUUCACCACAGGCCUUAUUUCAGGCUUUUAACCAAAAUCCCAUAAAAAAUAAAAAACGAUUGACUUCGAGACCAUGGAACCGGAAGGGCUAAAAUGCUAACUCUGUUUCCGGGUUUGGCGUUCUAAAAUGAUGUCAUCCCUGCGCCACUCUUUGGUGACUGGCUGUAAGUUUAGGAAGUGCUUGAUUUGAUCUGCAGCGGAGUUUCCUCUGAGCCGAGGACGAACUUUCAACGUCAAUAUCGCAGUCGAUCAUGUUCAUGUAAUCGUUGGCAGGCAAAAUCGUAAUCGAGAUCAAUAUUCGAUUAAUUGUGCUACUACCCGCUCACAAGAAUGAAACAUGGUGAGACAUGACUUGUUACCUGCUAGUGUAAACUCACAUAUAGGGAUCCAAGCACUGAUCCUGAAAUCCAGUUUUCCCUUUAAUUUAGAAUAAUAAUGGUGCAAAUGCUAUAAAAAUUAUUGCCUUUUGAGCACUUUGAUGAUAGCAGCCCUUUUGCUUUACAGUUUCUGUUUGCUAUAACGAUAAUUAUUUUUUACGUGGUUUAUUCUGUUUUCCUUCACAUAAUCUUGUCUUUUUUAAGACAUUACUUUCUUAUUUUUAAAGCUAUUUAUUAAGGUAUUUAUGUUUUUUGCCAUUUAUAAAUGUUUUAAAGCACUUGGAGCUCUAUUUGAAAUGCCUGGAACUAUAUAAAUAACAGUUCUCAUAAUAAUGAAGUUCAAUGCGUCUCUUCAUUCCAAGGACGGAUAAUCUCAUCACGAUCCUGAUGCGUCGUGACCGCGUCGAUUCUCUUCCCGCUGGUGUUUACAGGGUUGUCGACCCCCUGAACACGGUGACUGAACAUGAAGGGCACACCAAUUCAGCGCCAACACUGGCACAGCGUUCGAGCACGAAACAGCAAACCCGUGCCUCGGAGAAUAAAAAGGUGCGACUGUGGAGUGUUACCAUGGCAACAGGGCACUGACAAAUUAGCAAACAAUAAAUAAACAAGUGAAAAAAUAAGUAACCAAGUACAUAACUAAUUUGGGCAAAGGUGUGGGUGGAUCUUUAGAGGCUUGUAUAACAAAUAAAUCAAUAGUUAAUUAAAUUCAGAACUACUGUGUCAUUUUAAUUUGCUUUUGCUAGUUUGUUUUUCAUUUUAUGCAACAGCAAUAAUAAUGAUAAUAAUAAAAUAAUAAUAAUAAUGUGAUUGCCUAUAUCAUCACGUUAUAUUAUUAAUAUUGAUAUUAAAAUGAUUGUUUUUACUGUUGUAUGCUUGUCGUCAAUAUUAUUACUUCGAUUUUUAAGCCUGCCAUUAAUUACAUUAAAAUCUUUUAACUUAUAAACAAGUGCAUGAACAGACCAGGGCAAAAGUUUACACACCCAUAGGAAUAUAUAUCAUUUACACAAAGCUGUUUAGCAUGUUAAGAAAGAAACAGCGAGGUAGCCUAUCACAAGUAAUAAAAAUUAUUUUUAAAAAGUGGUGUAUAUUAUAACAAAAAAACAAAACAAAAAACUAAGCUUGAAAAAAUUAAAUAAUAAAUAAAUUAAUAUGUGGCAAAAGUUGACUAAAAGAUCAGUUCAAAUUCUCAAGUGUCAACUUUCAGUAUACGUAAAUUAUGAAAUUAAUUAAGAGAGAAAUGGGGGGGGCGGGGUAUGACGGUCCUGAGGUAUGAAUUUAAAGAUUAAAGCAAGUACAAAACAGUUUUAUUUAACUGUUCAUUUAUUUAGAAAAAAAAACAACUUUACAUUAGAACAAAUACUUCAGAAAAACCUUGAGUGUUUAAUAGCAUUUGCUACUAAAUUAAAAUUCUACUGACAUGAAAAUCGUGAUAAAGUACAUUAAGCCAUGAUUUUAUGAACAGAAAAGAAAUAUCUGUAGGUGAAAUGCCAAGUUCUCUGUUCACAGCAGUUCAUAUGAAAUGUCUGGAAUUUUCCGCCUUUUCCAUUUAACCCACUGUGCUAGGCUAGUUGUGUUUGACCUGCAAACGUUUCAGCAGAGGAGUUUUCUUCCUGGCAUAAAGAAACGGCAGAUUAGGACACGACGUGAAAAAAUGUCAAACCAUCAGCUUCUAUUAAAGUAACACCAAAAAGGAUAUUUUUCAAAAUAAAACUUUCCAGAACUAUUGAUCAUCCAGGUCAUGUGUGACGCUAUAAUUAUUUAUCUGUAACAUAAUAUAGCUCAAAUCUGCCAUGCAGUUAUAGAAAAUGAUCCCUGUUAUUGAUUAUUUUCCUAUAACAGUAUGUUUUAACCCUGAGUGCGUUGUUCCUUACGUAUUUCACACAAUCCACGUCUUUGCCUGAAGAUGAAACUGCGUAGAUGGGUUUUUGCACUGGCGUUAAGAAAUGUUUGAUCUUCUUCUACAUAAUUCAGUUCGUCAGAUGAGAGAGCAAUGAAUGUUAGCAUAAUGCUAACUCGGCACAAGUGGAUAAUCUAGAAAAAAGGAGGAAUCGUAGUACUGUAACCCCGGAAACUACGACAUCGUUCCUAAAUCCGGCUUUAAAACGUGCCACCCCAAUCCCGUUCCAUUUUUACGCCGAAUACAAUGAACUUGACGCACGUUUACGUCUGAAAUCCUUUAAUAGCCUUUAAGAGAAAAUGACACCGUGUCAUGAAAACCAGGAACAUCAUGAAAGUAGGAAGAAAAAAAAUGAGGUAGAACCAUCGAACAAGUAAACCAAGGAAAAUAAACACACACCUUUGAGAAGAUUGAUGUGAAAGUGGACCGCUGAGGAAAUGGAUCAUACUUUCUGCACAGCCUCGGAAAUGAUCUAAAACAUGAGCAGAUGUAAAACGGCGUCUGAAACGUUCCGAGCAGUAGCGUGUUCACGUAGUGUUUCGGUUAUCCAAUCGGAUUGUAAACUUCUCCUUCCGUAUGUACAAUCUCUACUGACUAAAUUUCCCAUGGGUCCUCACUGUUUAAAAUUUGAGCAAAAUUGCACAAUUCCAGCUCACUGUUUACUUCAACAGCAGCAUUUUUUGUGCGUGCUUGUACUCAAACCAAGGGUUAGAUUGGUUUAAAUAACAGACAAUAAACCGAAUCCCCAAAGUGCUCAUUUUGUUCCCUUUUCACACUUUAUACAACCGAAGAAUCAAACGUAAUAAAAGGCGAUAAAAAUGGAUGCUUGUUUGAAAUAUACAGUUUUCGACAGUGCUAUAAACGGUUUUUACAGACCAGAAGUUUGUGCACACCUGACCAUCAGACCCGUAUGUGCUUGUUCAACUUCCCGUUCCAGAUUUGCAGUUAUGAUGUGCUCCACUCUUCUGGGAAGGAUUUCCAAUUAAUUUUGGGGUGUAUCUGUGGGGAUUUGUUUUCAUUCGGUCAGCUAUAAGAGCGUUUGUGAGGUCUUGUAUGCGUGUUUCGGAUAUCGUGAUGAAUUCUAAAAUCAUACAUUCAUUUAACGGAAACCUUUGCAACUCUAAAUUGACUAACUCAGCUAACACGGAGCUGAUUGGACGUUAAAAUGCACAUGUAUACGGGUUUGAAUACGCAGUUUGUUUUUUUUACUCCCCGCUUAAAAACAAACAAACAAAAAAAAAACAUUCCUGUCCACUUCAACACCUUCAUGAUAAACCGCAAAAACAUGAGCAGCAGGUGGCAAUAUAUGUGACGUAACGAAUGCACAUAAAAAAAAAAAAGCCACCUCUAGAGUAACGUAAAGAGCUGCGUAGAGAAGGUCGAAACACUGAAAAACAACAUGGCCGCAUCAGAACGACGCCAGAAGUGCCUGUUUUCAAAAAGCCGUGAAUUCGGUGACUUGAGGAUUUCACGUGGACAGAAAACGUUUGAAUAAAAAAUAAAAACAUACGAUUUCAAAAAUUUCCUUACGCAUGUGGACUGUUUGUUAAUUUUUUUCACUGUUGCAUAGAAAUAUACUUUUAAAAUUCAGAUUGCACUUUUUUUAAAGCACAUUUAAAUAUCAUGAUAUAGGUCACAUGUUUUUGCCAUGUAGUUCGCUCGUGUGUGUAUAUAUAUAUAUAUAUAUAUAUAUAUAUAUUACACACAGGCAUACCUGAUGUCUGGGACAAUCCUAUGUUUUUUGACCAAAGAAAUCUUGUGGACAAUGAACAUAUAAUUGAUACAUGCAUAUUUUACGAUAUGCACAUUUUCACAAAUCCCUACACAAAAAUAAAAUGUCGUCAAAUAUAGAAACCUGGCUCUUUUUUUUUUUUUGCAUGUGAGGAAACAAGAUAAGUGAGGAUUCAGUUCAAAUUGUGUGAAACUGCCAAAAAUUAAAUAAGGCACAGGAGUAAGCUCAUGAACCAGGAGGCUGUUGCGCAGCCAA